GUUUAAACCAAACAGGUUUUAUUCCAAUGCGCGAACAGCCGCUCCCUUGAUAAAAUGGCGUCGUCUUAUUUUCGCUGCCUUGUUCCUUUUCGAGCUGCAGGACUUGAGAAGUGGACCUGUCACCAGUGCCUUGUAGAUGAAAUUCGUGAUUUUCAAAUUCAACCGGGCGAGAGCUUUUUCCCUCUUUCAAGCUCCGCAACGCAUCUGUGAGAGAGAGAGCUGGGGAUGGGGGUGAAGAAUUUAUGGGAUAUCAUAGAAUCAUGCAAGAAUACUCUGCCACUUCACCAUCUCCAGUAACCACUUCCUCUUCCCUUGUUUGCAGACACAACUUCGUUUCUCCUGCCUUACUAUUUUCUUUCUUUUUUAUUUACUAACAAAAGGAUAUGUAUAGAUCUCUCUUGUUGGAUGGUUCAACUUCAA
rnacentral:misc_RNA from 1 species